rnacentral:rRNA from 1 species
UGGGGAAUAUUGGACAAUGGGCGAAAGCCUGAUCCAGCGACGCCGCGUGUGUGAAGAAGGCCUGCGGGUUGUAAAGCACUUUCGAUGGGAACGAAAUGUGCCGGGUUAAUACCCCGGUAAGCUGACGUUACUCAAUGAAGAAGCACCGGCUAACUCUGUGCCAGCAGCCGCGGUAAUACAGAGGGUGCGAGCGUUAAUCGGAAUUACUGGGCGUAAAGCGCACGUAGGUGGCGACGUAAGUCGGGUGUGAAAGCCCCGGGCUCAACCUGGGAAUUGCAUUCGAGACUGCAUUCCUGGAGUACGGAAGAGGAGGGCGGAAUUCCCGGUGUAGCGGUGAAAUGCGUAGAUAUCAAGAGGAACACCUGAGGCGAAGGCGGCCACCUGGUUGGAUACUGACGCUGAGACGCGAAAGCGUGGGGAGCAAACAGGAUUAGAUACCCCCGUAGUCCCUGAGCGGGCUGGCAAGGCGCAU